AACAUUUUUUUAUUUAGUAGCGGAGAUCAAAAAAUAAAUAGGAGCUAUAUAAAUAGUACCGCAAGGGAAACGUGAAAUAACAUGAAAACUUAAAGCAAACCACAGCAAAGAUUAACCCUUGUACCUUUUGCAUCAUGGUCUAGCUAGCCUAACCAAGCAAAACGAACUUAAAGUUUGACCCCCCGAAACUAAGCGAGCUACUCUAAAACAGCCCACAGAGCCAACCCAUCCCUGUUACAAAAGGGUGGAAAGAUUUUAAAGUAGAGGUGACACACCAAUCGAGCCUAGAGAUAGCUGGUUAUUCAAAAGACGGAUCUAAGUCCAACUUUAAGCUUCUAUAAGUGGCACAAACAACCCACAAACUUAAAAGCCAUUCAAAUAAGGUACAGCCUAUUUGAACAAGGAGACAACCUAUGACAUAGGGUAACGACCACCACACGUGACUAAGUAGGCCUAAAAGCAGCCAACUUCUAAAGGGCGUCCAAGCCUUACCACACCCACUAUCAAUUUCUCUAUCCACCCACAACCCACAACCAACAAUGAAUGACCCCAUACCCAUAUGGAAGACACCAUGCUAGAACUAGUAACAAGAAGACGAACUUCUCCAAAAUGCAAACAUAGGCCAAAAUGAACCCUCACCGGCACUUACCGCACCACAACAUAGUACCAACUACACAAGAAUACCCUACUACAUUAAACGUCAACCUUACACAAGAGCACUCCUGGAAAGAUUAAAAGGGGGGGAAGGAACUCGGCAAACACCAGCCCCGCCUGUUUACCAAAAACAUCGCCUCUUGACAACAUAAGAGGUCUAGCCUGCCCAGUGACAAUAGUUAAACGGCCGCGGUAUCCUAACCGUGCAAAGGUAGCACAAUCACUUGUUCUCUAAAUCAGGACCAGUAUGAACGGCCCCACGAGGACUAUACUGUCUCCCCCCCCCAAUCAGUGAAACUGAUCCCCUCGUGAAGAAGCGAGGAUGCCCCCAUAAGACGAGAAGACCCCAUGGAACUUUAAACUGGUACCACCCACCCCACCUCUACACCACACCAACAGGACGACAUGACUACCAGUCUUUCGGCUGGGGCGGCCACGGAGAAAAACAAAACCCCCGAGAUGAAAGGAAACCCCCUUAUCCAAGAACCACUAUUCCAAGAAUCAACAAAUGACACUAUUGACCCAAUACUUGAUCAACGAACCAAGCUACCCUGGGGAUAACAGCGCAAUCCAUUUCAAGAGACCCCAUCGACAAAUGGGCUUACGACCUCGAUGUUGGAUCAGGGUACCCCGGUGGUGCAGCCGCUACCAAAGGUUCGUUUGUUCAACGAUUAAAACCCU
rnacentral:rRNA from 1 species